AAACUAACAAACAAGGCCCCGCCCAUGUCACAUUCACAAAAAAAAUUGUUAACAUCAUCUCAGACCGCUCUGAAAACCUACCUUUACACCUGAAGCACACUCAAAACCUACCAUUAUGCUGAAAACCCCUUUCAAUCGGAAACCUACAUACAACAAAUAGGGGUUUCCAUGGCGACACGGGGAUGGGGAGUCACCAUAGAUAUACAUAUCUAUCUAUCAUGUCACGGGAUGAACGACCGACUCAGAUCGGAAGAGCAGUUCCUUCACGCUGUGAGCAGACUUGUCAUUGGCUUAUGAGGAUGAUAUUAUUUGGAGAGCUCAGAGAUUAGCCUGUCUGUAUGUUUGUAUGAUGAAGUGGCCAGACCGAGGCACACUCAAAGCCUAGAGGCAGACGUGACUGGCAGGAGGAUUUGGACUGAGAACGGAAAUGAACCCUCAAGGCAGAACACUUGAGCAAGCCGUUAACCCUAUAAAUAAAGAGUUUUUGAGAUCUGACAGAAUUUUAAUUUGCAACUACUUCUGGUAUAGAUUUUUUAACAUUAAUUUAUUUGAUUGCUUGGGAUAUAUUUUAUUUAUUUUAUAUUUUCAUUACUUCACUUAGAGACAAUCAAUACAUAGUAA